UACGAAGGGGGCUAGCGUUGCUCGGAAUGACUGGGCGUAAAGGGCGUGUAGGCGGCGUGCGCAGUCGGAUGUGAAAUUCCUGGGCUCAACCUGGGGGCUGCAUCCGAGACGCGUGCGCUGGAGUGCGGAAGAGGGUCGUGGAAUUCCCAGUGUAGAGGUGAAAUUCGUAGAUAUUGGGAAGAACACCGGUGGCGAAGGCGGCGACCUGGUCCGUGACUGACGCUGAGGCGCGAAAGCGUGGGGAGCAAACAGG
rnacentral:rRNA from 1 species